rnacentral:rRNA from 1 species
ACGCUCGACACCUACGGGAGGCAGCAGUGGGGAAUAUUGGGCAAUGGGCGCAAGCCUGACCCAGCAACGCCGCGUGAGGGAUGAAGGCUUUCGGGUUGUAAACUUCUUUUAUCAGGGACGAAACAAAUGACGGUACCUGAUGAAUAAGCCACGGCUAACUACGUGCCAUCAGCGGCGGUAAUCUGAGCGGGCUGGCAAGGC